rnacentral:rRNA from 1 species
AAAGUUACUCAAGCGCACACAAAGGAUGCCUUGACGUAAGAUACCGAUGAAGGACGUAGAAAACUGCGAUAAGCUUCGGGGAGCUGUUAAUCAAGCUUUGAACCGAAGAUUUCCGAAUGGGGAAACCUAGUUAGAGUAAUGUCUAAUUGCGCCAGCCUGAAUAUAUAGGGCAGGAGAGCGGUAACCGGGGGAACUGAAACAUCUUAGUACCCCGAGGAAGAGAAAGUAAACAACGAUUCCGGGAGUAGUGGCGAGCGAAACUGGAAUAGCCCAAACCUUUUUCAUUUCCAUCUGGUAAUUUAUUGCCGUUUGGAUAAGUUGGUAGACGAAUAUGAAAACAGGGGUUGUGACACUACAAACAUACCAUGCAGAUGAUUUGAGCAAUCGAAUCCUCUGUAUGGCUAGCAUGAUCUACCACUGUCAUGCCUAAGGUUUAAGAAAAUUGCUGAGCGAGCAGAAGGAAUUGGAAAGUUCCGCCAGAGACGGUGAAAGCCCGGUAUGCCAAGUUUCAGCAAACCUUAGAUUUGUAGGUGUACGUACUUAAGCUUCGGCUUGAGUGUGGACACAUAUGUCGAGUAGGUCGGGACACGUGAAACCCUGACUGAAUCUGGGGGGACCACCCUCCAAGGCUAAAUAUAUCUUACGAUCGAUAGUGAACAAGUACCGUGAGGGAAAGGCGAAAAGAACCCCGGAAGGGGAGUGAAAUAGAACCUGAAAUUGUGUGCGUACAAGGAGUCGGAGCCCUUCGGGGUGACGGCGUGCUUUUUGUAGAACGAUCCAACGAGUUACUGAUAUGUGCGAGCCUAAGUCAUUUGACGGAGGCACAGUGAAAGCGAGGCUGAAUAGGCCGAAAUAGUACAUAUUAGUAGACCCGAAACCAGGUGACCUAACCAUGGGCAGGCUGAAGCGCAGGUAAAACUGCGUGGAGGGCCGAACCGUAGCACGUUGCAACAUGCCCGGAUGACCUGUGGUUAGCGGUGAAAUGCCAAUCGAACCUGGAGAUAGCUGGUUCUCCUCGAAAUAGCUUUAGGGCUAGCGUCGUACGGUAACAUAUGGGGGUAGAGCUCUGUUUCGGACUGGGGGUCGUAAGAUUACCCACCCUUGACAAACUACGAAUACCAUAUGCGGAACUACGGCAGUUAGAACGUGGGGGCUAAGCUCCACGCUCAAAAGGGAAACAGCCCAGAUCGCCAGCUAAGGUCCCUAAAUAUACGCUCAGUGGGAAACGAGGUGAGAUUUCUCGAACAACUAGGAUGUUGGCUUAGAAGCAGCCAUUCAUUUAAAGAGUGCGUAACAGCUCACUAGUCAAGAGAUCUUGCGCGGAAAAUGUAACGGGGCUAAGCGUAUUACCGAAGCUGCGAGCUCGAUUUAUCGAGCGGUAGAGGAGCGUUGAUAUCUGCGUUGAAGUCGAACUGCGAGGUUCGGUGGAGCGUUAUCAAGUGAGAAUGUUGGAAUGAGUAACCAUAAGGCAAGUGAGAAUCUUGCCCGCCGAAAGAGCGAGGUUUCCUGGGCCACGAUAAUCGUCCCAGGGUUAGUCGGUCCUAAGCCGAGGCGCGUAGCGUAGGCGAUGGACAACGGGUUAAUAUUCCCGUACUAGCUUUGUAUUGUAUGGAGUGCGCAUCAUGUUAGUAGGAGCGGGUUCAUGGUUAUAUCCGUCUAAGCAGUGUAACAACUGCGAAUGAAAGGACCUUUUGGUCUGAUUCCUGCGAGAGUGGUGACUAGAAAAGCUUCCAUGCUUAUGUACAAGGUUAUCCGUACCGCAAACCGACACAGGUGCUCAGGUCGAGAAGACCAAGGCGUACGAGUGAAUCUUCGUUAAGGAACUCGGCAAUACAGCGACCGUAACUUCGGGAUAAGGUCUGCCCCGUCACUCUGUCUAUGACAGCGUGACUGCCAGUUUUCUUUUCAGGAAACAAACAGAACUGAAUGUAAGUUUUUAACUUCUUACAGACAGCCUGUAUAAACGAGUAAAAUUGAGAAUAUUUCCUUCUAUGUGAAAUAGAAAAAGAAAGCUAGCCCAGUCUAAUAGCGCUAUCGUGGUAGAUAGUGUGACGGGGCCGCAGCUAAGGAACCCAUGGAACUGUUUACCAAAAACACAGGUCUCUGCUAACACGAAAGUGGAUGUAUAGGGGCUGACUCCUGCCCAGUGCUGGAAGGUUAAGGGGAUUGCUUCACGGCAUGAACUGAAGCCCCAGUGAACGGCGGCGGUAACUAUAACCGUCCUAAGGUAGCGAAAUUCCUUGUC